rnacentral:piRNA from 1 species
UUAAAAAGUUUAUACCCAGUUUCUAGGAAUUG